GACGUAGGGCGCGAGCGUUGUCCGGAUUUAUUGGGCGUAAAGAGCUCGUAGGCGGCUUGUCGCGUCGUCCGUGAAAACCCGGGGCUCAACCCCCGGGCUUGCGGUCGAUACGGGCAGGCUGGAGUUCGGUAGGGGAGACUGGAAUUCCUGGUGUAGCGGUGAAAUGCGUCGAUAUCAGGAGGAAUACCGGUGGCGAAAGGCGGACU
rnacentral:rRNA from 1 species